rnacentral:rRNA from 1 species
AUACACCGGUUCUCGUCCGAUCACCGAAGUUAAGCAACAUCGGGCGUGUUCAGUACUUGGAUGGGUGACCGCCUGGGAAC